rnacentral:rRNA from 1 species
GAUGAACGCUGGCUACAGGCUUAACACAUGCAAGUCGAGGGGAAACGGCAUUGAGUGCUUGCACUGAAUGGACGUCGACCGGCGCACGGGUGAGUAACGCGUAUCCAACCUUCCCGUUACUGCGGGAUAACCUGCCGAAAGGCAGACUAAUACCGCAUGUUCUUCGAUGACGGCAUCAGAUUCGAAGCAAAGAUCCGUCGGUAACGGAGGGCGAUGCGUCUGAUUAGCUAGUUGGCGGGGCGACGGCCCACCAAGGCGACGAUCAGUAGGGGUUCUGAGAGUAAGCUCCCCCACAUUGGAACUGCGACACGGUCCAAACUCCUACGGGAGGCAGCAGUGAGGAAUAUUGGGCAAUGGGCGGAAGCCUGAACCAGCCAAGUAGCGUGCAGGAUGACGGCCCUACGGGUAGUAAACUGCUUUUAUGCGGGGAUAAAGUGAGGGACGCGUCCCUUUUUGCAGGUACCGCAUGAAUAAGGACCGGCUAAUUCCGUG